AUGGACUAUGUGGGGUGUGAUUGUCUCAAACCUUCAUUUUGGAAACAAGGACCAUACUGUGGCUCAGCUUGUCAGAAUGUCAUGCAGAGCCUUCCCUUAUGGUUACAGUCUUACUGUUCUGCUCAGAGAGGGCAGCAAAGUGUUGCAGGUCUGGGAUUCAAAAGGAUUUCAACUCUGAGAUCUGUGGACUUAGCAACGAUUCUUUUUCAGCCUUUCAAUGCCUUUGGCUUUUGCUGCUGAUGGUAACAAGUUCAACCUGAAGAGAAAAUGUAUUCCUGGACAGAAAUUCGGUGCAGUGCUCCUGCAGUCAGUGGCUCACCCAGCAGAGAUGGUUCUAAAGGUGCAAAGAGAGAACCAGAAGAAGAAUUGAGAGGCCUGUAGAGUUUCCCUGGAAAAGUGGCACCUCCAGGAAUAAAAGGAGCUUUAGGACCACAAGGAAAGAAAGGAGAAAAAGGAGAAUAUGGAACUUUGAUUUUAAAGAACAUCAAGAGUAUUGCUAAAAAUCGUCCUUGUCUCAACUGGAUCUCUCUUUGUACAAAAGCUGAGAGUGCACUCGCCUAUCUCAGAAAUUAAGCUAAAACCACAGAUGUACAAGAGCCCAUAACACCUUGAAAACAGACUUGUAUGGGGAUAUCUGAUGAACAGACUGAAGGCAGGUUCAUAAAUCUGAAUGGAAGGACUGUAACUUACUGGAGCUGGAAUGACAGAGAACUAAGUAAUCUACAAAAUGAAGAAUGUGCGAUAAUAAAAGACUUCAGAAAAAUGGAUUGACAUUGAUUAUUCAAAUUCACAUGAGUUAAUUACUUGUGAAUUCUUGAGAUGAUGAAUCUAAGAAAACCCAAAGUUUUUUUCUCAGUUAUGUGGUUGAUAUAGAAGUUUGUUCCUGUAAAAGCAGCCUGGAAUAACCAGAACAAGAGUGUAUUUACAAUUGUUGUCUCUUUGAUGUUCAGUUUUGAAUCUCCUAAUAAAGUACAGAUUUCAUUUUUUCAGUCAAUAUGAAAUAAAUUGUGUUUAUCAUAGUGGUAUAAGGUUAAUAAGUUAUGGCAUGCUCAGGCUAGUUGUUAUAUCUGUCUGAGUUUCUCAUAAAUGCAGCAUGAAGCAGUCAUUUUUUAGUUAUCUUGAAACUAGUGAAAAAUUUGUCUAUAUUCCAUCUUUGAAC